AGUUGCAGAGGGGUUCAGUUCUUUGUUCCUGCCUGGCACAAAGAUGCUAUUCCUGUGAUUAAGACUAUCCCAGUCCUGAAAGGUUACACAUGACUGUCAGGCCUCAGUCUCAACGUGCAGCAGUUCCAGGUAAUUAUGUGCGUUUGAUUCCACUGUUUCUGUAUUGACUUUUAUGUCAAGUAGAGAUUAAGAGACAAGAAGAGAUCCUGCAGCCAUGACUCACUGCUAGCAGAGCUUCCACUGGAAUCAUCCAUGAUGGUCUUAUGGAGUGCUGGGGCUUGAACCUGAGACCAUGUCCUGUAAGGUGUGCACUCUACCUCGGUUAUUGCUGGGGCUUGGUGGCUGCACUACAAAUCCACUGCUCCUGGAGGCCAUCUUCUCCGUUUUGCUGGUCUUUGCACUUCGUGCCAUGUGCACUUAACCCGCUGUGCUACUGGCCUGGCUCCCAGUCUCAGGACAGUUGAACUCUGUCUUUGAAGAUGCAUAUAAAACUGGAAUGAAAACUUGAGUUGUGCCAAUAUUUUCCUCUAAGUAUUUGAUGGUUUCUGAUCUAACAUCCAGGUCCUUGAUCCAUUUGGAAUUUACUUUUAUGUGUGGUAAAAUGUAUUGGUUCAGGAGUCGGGCUGUAGCACAGCGGGUUAAGCGCAGGUGGCGCAAAGCACAAGGACCGGUAUAAGGAUCCCCGUUCCAACCCCGGCUCCCCACCUGCAGGGGAGUCGCUUCACAGGCGGUGAAGCAGGUCUGCAGGUGUCUAUCUUUCUCUCCUCCUCUCUGUCUUCCCCUCCUCUCUCCAUUUCUCUCUGUCCUAUCCAACAACAACAACAACAAUAAUAACUACAACAAUAAAACAGCAAGGGCAAC